AUUGAACGCUGGCGGCAGGCCUAACACAUGCAAGUCGAACGGUAACAGGAAGAAGCUUGCUUCUUUGCUGACGAGUGGCGGACGGGUGAGUAAUGUCUGGGAAACUGCCUGAUGGAGGGGGAUAACUACUGGAAACGGUAGCUAAUACCGCAUAACGUCGCAAGACCAAAGAGGGGGACCUUCGGGCCUCUUGCCAUCGGAUGUGCCCAGAUGGGAUUAGCUAGUAGGUGGGGUAACGGCUCACCUAGGCGACGAUCCCUAGCUGGUCUGAGAGGAUGAGCAGCCACACUGGAACUGAGACACGGUCCAGACUCCUACGGGAGGCAGCAGUGGGGAAUAUUGCACAAUGGGCGCAAGCCUGAUGCAGCCAUGCCGCGUGUAUGAAGAAGGCCUUCGGGUUGUAAAGUACUUUCAGCGGGGAGGAAGGGAGUAAAGUUAAUACCUUUGCUCAUUGACGUUACCCGCAGAAGAAGCACCGGCUAACUCCGUG
rnacentral:rRNA from 1 species